UGAUAACUAGCUGUCCGGGCUCAUGGAGCUUGGGUGGCGCAGCUAACGCAUUAAGUUAUCCGCCUGGGGAGUACGGUCGCAAGAUUAAAACUCAAAGGAAUUGACGGGGGCCUGCACAAGCGGUGGAGCAUGUGGUUUAAUUCGAAGCAACGCGCAGAACCUUACCAGCCUUUGACAUCCUAGGACGACUUCUGGAGACAGAUUUCUUCCCUUCGGGGACCUAGUGACAGGUGCUGCAUGGCUGUCGUCAGCUCGUGUCGUGAGAUGUUGGGUUAAGUCCCGCAACGAGCGCAACCCUCGUCCUUAGUUGCCAUCAUUUAGUUGGGCACUUUAAGGAAACUGCCGGUGAUAAGCCGGAGGAAGGUGGGGAUGACGUCAAGUCCUCAUGGCCCUUACAGGCUGGGCUACACACGUGCUACAAUGGCAUCUACAGUGAGCAGCGAUCCCGCGAGGGUUAGCUAAUCUCCAAAAGAUGUCUCAGUUCGGAUUGUUCUCUGCAACUCGAGAGCAUGAAGGCGGAAUCGCUAGUAAUCGCGGAUCAGCAUGCCGCGGUGAAUACGUUCCCAGGCCUUGUACACACCGCCCGUCACACCAUGGGAGUUGGAUUCACCCGAAGGCGGUGCGCUAACCUUUUAGGAGGCAGCCGACCACGGUGGGUUCAGCGACUGGGGUGAAGUCGUAACAAGGUAGCCGUAGGGGAACCUGCGGCUGGAUCACCUCCUUUCU
rnacentral:rRNA from 1 species